rnacentral:rRNA from 1 species
UGGGGAAUAUUGGACAAUGGGCGCAAGCCUGAUCCAGCCAUGCCGCGUGAGUGAUGACGGCCCUAGGGUUGUAAAGCUCUUUCAGUGGUGAAGAUAAUGACGGUAACCACAGAAGAAGCCCCGGCUAACUCCGUGCCAGCAGCCGCGGUAAUACGGAGGGGGCAAGCGUUGUUCGGAAUUACUGGGCGUAAAGCGCGCGUAGGCGGGUCUUUAAGUCAGAGGUGAAAUCCUGGAGCUCAACUCCAGAACUGCCUUUGAUACUGGAGAUCUUGAGUCCGGAAGAGGUUAGUGGAAUUCCCAGUGUAGAGGUGAAAUUCGUAGAUAUUGGGAAGAACACCAGUGGCGAAGGCGGCUAACUGGUCCGGUACUGACGCUGAGGUGCGAAAGCGUGGGGAGCAAACAGG